AGACGGAGGGCGCAAGCGUUGUUCGGAAUUACUGGGCGUAAAGGGCAGGUAGGUGGUCUGUUAAGUCUUCUGUGAAAACCCGGGGCUCAACCCCGUGGAAUGCAGGUGAAACUGGCAGACUUGAGACCGGUAGAGGCUAGCGGAAUUCCUGGUGUAGCGGUGGAAUGCGUAGAUAUCAGGAAGAACACCUGUGGCGAAGGCGGCUAGCUGGGCCGGUUCUGACACUAAACUGCGAAAGCGUGGGGAGCAAACAGGAUUAGAAACCCCGGUAGUCC
rnacentral:rRNA from 1 species